AUGCGACAUACUGGUAAAAUCUUCAAAGAGGGAUUCCGGCUCAAAAAUUCAGUCAAUGUUGUCUCCAUCAAGAUUGUUUCCUCUGACUAUGGCUACCCACUCUAUGUCUACGGUACCAUCAUAGCCAGGGAUAGUCUGGAUAGAAAAUGUGUCUAUAUAUUCCGGCGCGACCAGGAUGAUUGCCAGCUCAUCAGCUCAAAGGAUGAUUCAUUGAUUUUGACUGGACCCAAGAGAGGAUUCAUGGUAUGCGAUGAUAUAUUCUUCGAAAUCAAUCUGAAGGUGAAGGAUGUGCAUGGGAUGACUGUCGAUGAUGAUAGACUCAGUAAAGGCCUGAUGGAGGUGGAUGCUAUCCGCAGGCUGGAAUAUAGUCCCAGAUAUGUGGUUGAUACGGAAACACUUGUCAGCAUGCACAGCAUAUUAGAUUUAAACUAUACAUUCAUUAGGAGGUCGGUGGAGGGCACUGUUGAGAUCAAGAACCUUGAGGGACCUGAUGAAUUCCAUGGGAAGAUUGUUGCUUCCACUACCAGCAUUCCAUGCGACAUUGUGCUACAUGAUAGCAAAGUGAGUGGUGCGCUAACUGCGGGUGAAAAUGGAGUCCUACAAAUGGCGCGACGCGUAGUAGGAGUCUCUGUGGAUGAGGUGCUGGUGUUGACUGUUGCUGCUGCUGUCGGUGAUGAUGAGUUAUCUGCCCGCACUGUUCAGUUUACUCCAAGGCGCAAUGGUUACGAUGAUGAGAGUAUCACCUGCGGGGACUACAAGAUGCUUCUGAAGGUCACUUGGUCGAUUGUGUAUUUCUGA
rnacentral:rRNA from 1 species